rnacentral:miRNA from 1 species
UCGGAGGACCGGUCUGGUACC